GACGAACGCUGGCGGCGUGCCUAAUACAUGCAAGUCGAGCGAAGUUUUUCUGGUGCUUGCACUAGAAAAACUUAGCGGCGAACGGGUGAGUAACACGUAAAGAACCUGCCUCAUAGACUGGGACAACUAUUGGAAACGAUAGCUAAUACCGGAUAACAGCAUUAACUGCAUGGUUGAUGUUUAAAAGUUGGUUUUGCUAACACUAUGAGAUGGCUUUGCGGUGCAUUAGCUAGUUGGUGGGGUAAAGGCCUACCAAGGCGACGAUGCAUAGCCGACCUGAGAGGGUGAUCGGCGACCCUGGGACUGAGCCACGGCCAAGACUCCUACGGGAGGCAGCAGUAGGGAAUCUUCCGCAAUGGGCGAAAGCCUGACGGAGCAACGCCGCGUGAGUGAAGAAGGAUUUCGGUUCGUAAAGCUCUGUUGUUAGGGAAGAAUGAUUGUGUAGUAACUAUACACAGUAGAGACGGUACCUAACCAGAAAGCCACGGCUAACUACGUG
rnacentral:rRNA from 1 species